GGCUCAGAUUGAACGCUGGCGGCAGGCCUAACACAUGCAAGUCGAACGGUAACAGGAAGAAGCUUGCUUCUUUGCUGACGAGUGGCGGACGGGUGAGUAAUGUCUGGGAAACUGCCUGAUGGAGGGGGAUAACUACUGGAAACGGUAGCUAAUACCGCAUAACGUCGCAAGACCAAAGAGGGGGACCUUCGGGCCUCUUGCCAUCGGAUGUGCCCAGAUGGGAUUAGCUAGUAGGUGGGGUAACGGCUCACCUAGGCGACGAUCCCUAGCUGGUCUGAGAGGAUGACCAGCCACACUGGAACUGAGACACGGUCCAGACUCCUACGGGAGACAGCAGUGGGGAAUAUUGCACAAUGGGCGCAAGCCUGAUGCAGCCAUGCCGCGUGUAUGAAGAAGGCCUUCGGGUUGUAAAGUACUUUCAGCGGGGAGGAAGGGAGUAAAGUUAAUACCUUUGCUCAUUGACGUUACCCGCAGAAGAAGCACCGGCUAACUCCGUGCCAGCAGCCGCGGUAAUACGGAGGGUGCAAGCGUUAAUCGGAAUUACUGGGCGUAAAGCGCACGCAGGCGGUUUGUUAAGUCAGAUGUGAAAUCCCCGGGCUCAACCUGGGAACUGCAUCUGAUACUGGCAAGCUUGAGUCUCGUAGAGGGGGGUAGAAUUCCAGGUGUAGCGGUGAAAUGCGUAGAGAUCUGGAGGAAUACCGGUGGCGAAGGCGGCCCCCUGGACGAAGACUGACGCUCAGGUGCGAAAGCGUGGGGAGCAAACAGGAUUAGAUUCCCUGGUAGUCCACGCCGUAAACGAUGUCGACUUGGAGGUUGUGCCCUUGAGGCGUGGCUUCCGGAGCUAACGCGUUAAGUCGACCGCCUGGGGAGUACGGCCGCAAGGUUAAAACUCAAAUGAAUUGACGGGGGCCCGCACAAGCGGUGGAGCAUGUGGUUUAAUUCGAUGCAACGCGAAGAACCUUACCUGGUCUUGACAUCCACGGAAGUUUUCAGAGAUGAGAAUGUGCCUUCGGGAACCGUGAGACAGGUGCUGCAUGGCUGUCGUCAGCUCGUGUUGUGAAAUGUUGGGUUAAGUCCCGCAACGAGCGCAACCCUUAUCCUUUGUUGCCAGCGGUCCGGCCGGGAACUCAAAGGAGACUGUUAGUGAUAAACUGGAGGAAGGUGGGGAUGACGUCAAGUCAUCAUGGCCCUUACGACCAGGGCUACACACGUGCUACAAUGGCGCAUACAAAGAGAAGCGACCUCGCGAGAGCAAGCGGACCUCAUAAAGUGCGUCGUAGUCCGGAUUGGAGUCUGCAACUCGACUCCAUGAAGUCGGAAUCGCUAGUAAUCGUGGAUCAGAAUGCCACGGUGAAUACGUCCCCGGGCCUUGUACACACCGCCCGUCACACCAUGGGAGUGGGUUGCAAAAGAAGUAGGUAGCUUAACCUUCGGGAGGGCGCUUACCACUUUGUGAUUCAUGACUGGGGUGAAGUCGUAACAAGGUAGCCGUAG
rnacentral:rRNA from 1 species